AGAUAUCUCUCUUACGAUUACACAAACUGUAAUUUUUUGCAAUUUUUUGAAUACUGAUUGAAUGGUAUGUGUACCAGAAACUUCGAAGUACACAUAGAUAUUGAAAAAUCUCCAUAAAUCCAUGUGCAUGAUCUGCAGAUCUUUGUGAAGAGUGUUAAUUGAUAUAUUCAAUUACAUCUUCAUUUCUUCGAGUUUCCCACUGUCUAUAUAAUGAUAGAGAAGUAGAAAGUAUGUAGCUGUAUUAAAAUAAAUCGGCGCGAAAAGAAGAAAUAAUUGAAAUUUGUAGUUGUCAAACACGUUAGAAAUUUAUAAACUCAGUGAUUUUGUUGAUAAGAUGUAAAAUAAAUAACUACUAAGAAAA